rnacentral:rRNA from 1 species
UACGUAGGGUGCAAGCGUUGUCCGGAAUUAUUGAGCGUAAAGAGCUCGUAGGCGGUUUGUUGCGUCGGCUGUGAAAUCCCGAGGCUCAACCUCGGGUCUGCAGUCGAUACGAGCAAACUAGAGUGUUGCAGGGGAGACUGGAAUUCCUGGUGUAGCGGUGAAAUGCGCAGAUAUCAGGAGGAACACCGGUGGCGAAGGCGGGUCUCUGGGCAACAACUGACGCUGAGGAGCGAAAGCGUGGGGAGCGAACAGG